rnacentral:rRNA from 1 species
AUUGAACGCUGGCGGAAUGCUUUACACAUGCAAGUCGAACGGCAGCACGGACUUCGGUCUAGUGGCGAGUGGCGAACGGGUGAGUAAUGUAUCGGAACGUGCCCAGUCGUGGGGGAUAACGUAGUGAAAAUUACGCUAAUACCGCAUACGAUCUAUGGAUGAAAGCGGGGGAUCGCAAGACCUCGCGCGAUUGGAGCGGCCGAUAUCAGAUUAGGUAGUUGGUGGGGUAAAGGCCCACCAAGCCAACGAUCUGUAGCUGGUCUGAGAGGACGACCAGCCACACUGGAACUGAGACACGGUCCAGACUCCUACGGGAGGCAGCAGUGGGGAAUUUGGGACAAAGGGCGAAAGCCUGAUCCAGCCAUUCCGCGUGCAGGAUGAAGGCCCUCGGGUUGUAAACUGCUUUUGUACAGAACGAAAAGGUUUCUACUAAUACUAGGAGCUCAUGACGGUACUGUAAGAAUAAGCACCGGCUAACUACGUGCCAGCCGCCGCCGUAA